rnacentral:misc_RNA from 1 species
GAUGAAGAACGUAGCGAAAUGCGAUAAGUAAUGUGAAUUGCAGAAUUCAGUGAAUCAUCGAAUCUUUGAACGCACCUUGCACCCUUUGGUAUUCCGAAGGGUAUGCUCGUUUGAGUGUCAUUGUACUCUCACACUUCCGAUCGUUUGGAUCGGGAGCGGUGGACUUGGGUGUUGCUGCUUUACUGUGGCUCACCUUAAAUGCAUUAGUGCACCUUUCGGUUGGACAUAGUACGGCGUGAUAAGUGUCUUCGCCGGCACCUCACAGAGGGUGGCUGAUCGGGAGCUCUGUGCUUCAAACCGUCCUCGGACUACAGCUGACAACUUGACCUCAAAUCGAGUAGGACUACCCGCUGAACUUAAGCAUAUCAAUAAGCGGAGGA